UCGUGAUCCGCCCGCCUCGGCCUCCCAAAGUGCUGGGAUUACAGGCGUGAGCCACUGCGCCCGGCCACAAGUCUGUCUUCUCUUUAAUGCCUCAUUUGUCUUGGCACAAAGACACAUGAUUAGGCUCAGAGUGGCAUGUUUUGGCAAGGAGAGAAUGGGCAAGGGGUCAUCGAUGGACCGGAGAUGGGAUGGUAGGGACAGAAACUGCAGGGUCCGCAGAAGGAACUGCUCACCGAAAGCCAACAAGCUUGCCCUGUGGAAUCCCAGAAAGGCCCAGGAACUUCGGGACAUCACUGAAGGCAGAGUGAAGAGAGGAAGAGAAGACAGAGAAAUGGAGGGGAGAAAACUAUUAAAAUAAGUAAUAAGAAAACUUUCCCCAGAAGUGCAGAAUCUGAAUUUCCAGUAUAAAAGGGUCCAUUGAGCGCCAAGAACAAUGAAGGAAAAAAGGUCCCACUCAGGCCUACGUAUCAUUGUGAAAUUUCAGAACUAGAGGGAUAAAGAAAAGAUCCUAAAAGCUUCCCGAGAGAUAAAAAAGAAGAUUUUUACAAAGGAUCAGCAAUCAGAAUUGCCUCAGACUGCUCAAUAAAAACAUCAGAAGCUAGAAGAAAAUAGAAUGAGGCAUCAAAAUCCUGAGGGAAAUGAUUCCCACCUAUAAUUUCAUAUUCUGCUCAAUUAUCAAUUGAGUAUUGAAGGGAAAUAAAGACAUUUUUAGACAUGCAGUUUCUCCACUUGAUCUUAGCCCAAAGGCCGAGAGGCAAUGACAUGCAGUUUCUCAAAAGGUUUGCUUCCCACUUUCUUGGAAAAAACCAAGAAAGAGGGGGCCUGGGGAACCAGGGGAUCCCAACACAGGAGAGUGGCAGAGGAAGCUCCCAGGAUGAUGGAAAAU
rnacentral:lncRNA from 1 species